UGGGGAAUAUUGCACAAUGGGCGCAAGCCUGAUGCAGCCAUGCCGCGUGUGUGAAGAAGGCCUUAGGGUUGUAAAGCACUUUCAGUAAGGAGGAAAGGUUAGUAGUUAAUACCUGCUAGCUGUGACGUUACUUACAGAAGAAGCACCGGCUAACUCCGUGCCAGCAGCCGCGGUAAUACGGAGGGUGCGAGCGUUAAUCGGAAUUACUGGGCGUAAAGCGUACGCAGGCGGUUUGUUAAGCGAGAUGUGAAAGCCCCGGGCUCAACCUGGGAACUGCAUUUCGAACUGGCAAACUAGAGUAUGAUAGAGGGUGGUAGAAUUUCAGGUGUAGCGGUGAAAUGCGUAGAGAUCUGAAGGAAUACCGAUGGCGAAGGCAGCCACCUGGGUCAAUACUGACGCUCAUGUACGAAAGCGUGGGGAGCAAACGGG
rnacentral:rRNA from 1 species